GGCUAACUACGUGCCAGCAGCCGCGGUAAUACGUAGGUCCCGAGCGUUAUCCGGAAUUAUUGGGCGUAAAGGGCACGUAGGCGGACAAAUAAGUUUGAUGUCAAAUAUGAUGGCUCAACCAUCAAGAGGCGUUGAAAACUGUUUAUCUAGAAUACUCGGAGAGGUAAGUGGAAUUCCAUGUGUAGCGGUGGAAUGCGUAGAUAUAUGGAGGAACACCAAUGGCGAAGGCAGCUUACUGGACGAAGAUUGACGCUGAGGUGCGAAAGCGUGGGUAGCAAACAGGAUUAGAUACCCCUGGUAG
rnacentral:rRNA from 1 species